GAGUUUGAUCCUGGCUCAGAUUGAACGCUGGCGGCAUGCCUUACACAUGCAAGUCGAACGGCAGCAUGAUCUAGCUUGCUAGAUUGAUGGCGAGUGGCGAACGGGUGAGUAAUACAUCGGAACGUGCCCUGUAGUGGGGGAUAACUAGUCGAAAGAUUAGCUAAUACCGCAUACGACCUGAGGGUAAAAGUGGGGGACCGCAAGGCCUCAUGCUAUAGGAGCGGCCGAUGUCUGAUUAGCUAGUUGGUGGGGUAAAGGCCCACCAAGGCGACGAUCAGUAGCUGGUCUGAGAGGACGAUCAGCCACACUGGGACUGAGACACGGCCCAGACUCCUACGGGAGGCAGCAGUGGGGAAUUUUGGACAAUGGGCGAAAGCCUGAUCCAGCAAUGCCGCGUGUGUGAAGAAGGCCUUCGG
rnacentral:rRNA from 1 species